rnacentral:rRNA from 1 species
UCCCGGUGACAAACCGGAGGAAGGUGGGGAAGACGUCAAAUCAUCAUGCCCCUUAUGACCUGGGUUACACACGUGGUACAAUGGACGGUACAAAGAGCUGCAAGACCGCGAGGUGGAGCUAAUCUCAUAAAACCGUUCUCAGUUCGGAUUGUAGGCUGCAACUCGCCUACAUGAAGCUGGAAUCGCUAGUAAUCGCGGAUCAGCAUGCCGCGGUGAAUACGUUCCCGGGCCUUGUACACACCGCCCGUCACACCACGAGAGUUUGUAACACCCGAAGUC